UUGUGCGUUUGGCUCCAGCCUGCACCACCCGCACGUCACCUGCUGAGACCCCGGGUUCACCAGCCCGGGUCUCCAGCCUCCGGGAGGGACUGCGAGCGCGCCCCCCGGCCUCCGCGGGGGCUUCUGGGAGUUGUGGUCCAGCCGGUAGGCCCCGCGUCCUUUAGCGCGGGGGCACCAGCCGCGCGCGGGCCUUCUGGGUCUGCAGCGCGGGUAGGCUGGGUUGGUUCCGGAACGCAGCACAUGUAGGUCUCGUGGCGGCCUCGGUGCCCAAGACCUCCAGACGGACGCCCAGAGAGAUGUUCCUAUGAGACCACCUUCACCUCUGACUCAGAGGGCUUUUCCAAAAGUGAGUCAAGAGAUGGGUUAUUAGAAGGAUGGGCAGGUUGUUCUGGACACCAGGCUAAGCCAGACCCUCCAUGGAUUGCCAGAGAACUGCCCCCACUUUGCAUCUAAGAAGUCCUAGAGCUCAAAGAGGUGAGGUUGGAUCUGCACAGGCUGGCUAUGAGGAUUUAUGGCAUGUGACUCAAUUCCCAUUUCUCCCAGCUCCCUAUUCUGCCUUCUUUGGACUCUGCUGGCCCAAAGUGAUCUGUAAAAAGAGGAGAAAAUGGCCCUCAAGUUCCUGGCAGCAAGACACCCAGCGAGUGGGAUGUAACCUCUUUCGUGCAGUAAUCCCCGUCCCUAGUCAGGUGACGUGUGUUUGUUCACUGCCUUGCAGAGCCCAUCAGGACUCUAAGACAAACAUGAAACACAGCACAACUUUAAGAUACUCCAGAGGAAAGCCCACUCUCCCUCCUCCGUGCACUCACCCUACCCCAUGACCACAUCAGAACUGUGGCACACCUUAACCUUCCAUUAAUUUAGGUCACAAUUUAGGUCACAAAUGGUCCAGUAUCUUUUCAAGCCCCAUUGUCUACUUUGGACACUGAGAAGUGCUGUCCUUCCUUGAGGGCUUUGUAGGCCUUGUUAAGGUUUUGGGUUUUUACUGCACUGGAUUUUAAAAUUUAAAUGGCACCAAAUUUACAGAAGAACUGCAAUAAUAGUACAAAGAACACCAGUAUUGCCUUUACUCAUAUUCAUCAAUUGCCAGGGUUUUUUUGGCCACAGUUACUUUAUCAUUGCAUCUCUAUGUAUUUAUCAUUUUCUGAAUCAUUUGAGGGUAAGUUGUAGACAUCAUGUCUUUCACCUCUAAUUACUUUGGCACACAUCUUCUAUAUGCAAGAACAGCCCCUUAAAUGACCAUAGUAUAAUUUAGAAAAUUUAACACUGAUUCAGUACUAUUGUCUGAUCUCCAACCCAUAAUUAAAAUUUGCCAGUUCUCUUAAUUACUUUCUUUACGGCUUUUUUCCCCAG